rnacentral:lncRNA from 1 species
UUUUUUUUCUGAGUGAAAAUCUCUGUAACUUGUUGGAGCAAACCCAUCAUGUUUUGUAUAUUGUAAGUGAAUGUCACAAAGAAAGUCUUUGGAUGUUAAUGUUUCUUUUGAAAGUGCAAUACUUUAAGGAAGUACUUCGGCCUAGAAACAGUCUCAUGUUCUAUCGCCUGAGGAAGCAAUGUUGUUGCUGUUACCUUUUGGAAUUGAACAUGAGACAUGCAUAUUCCUUUAUUCUUUUGGUUUUUUAUUUAAACUAAGAAUCAGAGAAGACAUGUUGUUUUCUAGCCAACUGCCUAUUGUUACAGGGAGUGGCUAGUGUUAGGUGUGAUGAAGGAGAUUUUUCUGGGUGAUAAUCUCCUUAACUUGUUGGAGCAAACCAAUCAUGUUUGUAACUUCCUAAGUAAACGUCACAUAGAAAGUCUUUGGGUGUUGAUGGUUCUUCUAGAAAGUUCAACCUUUCAGAAAGUUCCUCCACCUGAUGGCAGUAUCAUAUUCCAUCAUCUGGAGAAGCAGCAUCGCUGCCAUUACCUUUU